AUUGAACGCUGGCGGAAUGCUUUACACAUGCAAGUCGAACGGCAGCACGGACUUCGGUCUGGUGGCGAGUGGCGAACGGGUGAGUAAUACAUCGGAACGUGCCCAGUCGUGGGGGAUAACGUAGCGAAAGCUACGCUAAUACCGCAUACGAUCUAAGGAUGAAAGCGGGGGAUCGCAAGACCUCGCGCGAUUGGAGCGGCCGAGGGCAGAUUAGGUAGUUGGUGGGGUAAAGGCACACCAAGCCGACGAUCUGUAGCUGGUCUGAGAGGACGACAAGCCACACUGGGACGGAGAACCGGCACGGACUCCCACGGGAGGCAGCAGGGGGGAAUGUUAGGAAAUGGACGCAAGCCUGAUCCAGCCAUUCCGCGUGCAGGAUGAGGGCCCUCGGGUUGUAGACUGCUUUUGUACGGAACGAAAAGGCUCUGGUUAAUACCUGGGGCUCAUGACGGUACCGUAAGAAUAAGCACCGGCUAACUACGUGCCAGCCGCCGCAGUAA
rnacentral:rRNA from 1 species